rnacentral:rRNA from 1 species
AACGCGAAGAACCUUACCUGGGUUUGACAUGCACUGGAUCGCCCCUGAGAGGGGGUUUCCCUUGUGGCUGGUGCACAGGUGGUGCAUGGCUGUCGUCAGCUCGUGUCGUGAGAUGUUGGGUUAAGUCCCGCAACGAGCGCAACCCUUGUCCCGUGUUGCCAGCAGGCCCUUGUGGUGCUGGGGACUCACGGGAGACCGCCGGGGUCAACUCGGAGGAAGGUGGGGACGACGUCAAGUCAUCAUGCCCCUUAUGUCUUGGGCUGCACACGUGCUACAAUGGCCGGUACAAUGAGCUGCGAUACCGCGAGGUGGAG